rnacentral:rRNA from 1 species
AGAGUUUGAUCCUGGCUCAGGAUGAACGCUAGCUACAGGCUUAACACAUGCAAGUCGAGGGGCAGCAUGUUGGUUGCUUGCAACCAAUGAUGGCGACCGGCGCACGGGUGAGUAACGCGUAUCCAACCUACCCUUGUCCAUCGGAUAACCCGUCGAAAGGCGGCCUAACACGAUAUGCGGUUCACAGCAGGCAUCUAAGGUGAGCGAAAUGUGAAGGAGAAGGAUGGGGAUGCGUCUGAUUAGCUUGUUGGCGGGGUAACGCCACAAGGCGACGAUCAGUAGGGGUUCUGAGAGGAAGGUCCCCCANAUUGGAACUGAGACACGGUCCAAACUCCGUACGGGAGGCA